rnacentral:rRNA from 1 species
GACGAACGCUGGCGGCGUGCCUAAUACAUGCAAGUAGGACGCAGUUGCGAACGGGUGAGUAACGCGUAGGUAACUGCCUAUUAGCGGGGGAUAACUAUUGGUAACGAUAGCUAAUACCGCAUACUAUUAGAUGGACCUGGGUUGUAUUAGCUAGUAGGUAGGGUAAUGGCCUACCAAGGCGACGAUACAUAGCCGACCUGAGAGGGUGAUCGGCCACACUGGGACUGAGACACGGCCCAGACUCCUACGGGAGGCAGCAGUGGGGAAUAUUGGACAAGGGGCGCAAGCCUGAUGCAGCCAUGCCGCGUGUAUGAAGAAGGCCUUCGGGUUGUAAAGUACUUUCAGCGGGGAGCGUUACCCGCAGAAGAAGCACCGGCUAACUCCGUGCCAGCAGCCGCGGUAAUUC